rnacentral:rRNA from 1 species
AGAGUUUGAUCCUGGCUCAGGAUGAACGCUAGCGGGAGGCUUAACACAUGCAAGUCGAGGGGCAUCACGAGGUAGCAAUACUUUGGUGGCGACCGGCAGACGGGUGAGUAACGCGUAUGCAACCUACCCUGUACAGGGGGAUANNNNNNNNNNNNNNNNNNNAAUAUCCCAUAAUAUUAUUUGGAGGCAUCUUCGGAUAAUUAAAGUUCCGGCGGUACGGGAUGGGCAUGCGUAACAUUAGCUAGUUGGUAAGGUAACGGCUUACCAAGGCUUUGAUGUUUAGGGGUCCUGAGAGGGUGGUCCCCCACACUGGUACUGAGACACGGACCAGACUCCUACGGGAGGCAGCAGUGAGGAAUAUUGGUCAAUGGGCGCAAGCCUGAACCAGCCAUCCCGCGUGCAGGAUGACGGCCCUAUGGGUUGUAAACUGCUUUUCCGAAAGCAAGAAAAACAUCCACGUGUGGGUGCCCGACGGUAGUGUAUGAAUAAGCAUCGGCUAACUCCGUGCCAGCAGCCGCGGUAAUACGGAGGAUGCAAGCGUUAUCCGGAUUCAUUGGGUUUAAAGGGUGCGUAGGCGGCUUUUUAAGUCAGUGGUGAAAUCCUGCCGCUUAACGGUAGAAUUGCCAUUGAUACUGAAAAGCUUGAGUACAUUUGAGGUAAGCGGAAUGUGUAGUGUAGCGGUGAAAUGCUUAGAUAUAACACAGAACACCAAUUGCGAAGGCAGCUUACCGGGCUACAACUGACGCUGAGGCACGAAAGCGUGGGGAUCAAACAGGAUUAGAUACCCUGGUAGUCCACGCCGUAAACUAUGAUUACUAGUUGUUGGCGAUACAUUGCCAGUGACUGAGCGAAAGCAUUAAGUAAUCCACCUGGGGAGUACGUUCGCAAGAAUGAAACUCAAAGGAAUUGACGGGGGCCCGCACAAGCGGAGGAGCAUGUGGUUUAAUUCGAUGAUACGCGAGGAACCUUACCUGGGCUCGAACGUAUAGGGAAUUAUGCCGAAAGGUAUAAGCCAGCAGGACUACUUACGAGGUGCUGCAUGGUUGUCGUCAGCUCGUGCCGUGAGGUGUUAGGUUAAGUCCUGCAACGAGCGCAACCCUUACCUUUAGUUGCCAGCAUGUAAUGAUGGGGACUCUAAAGGAACUGCCUACGCAAGUAGUGAGGAAGGUGGGGAUGACGUCAAAUCAGCACGGCCCUUAUGUCCAGGGCUACACACGUGUUACAAUGGCCGAUACAAAGGGCAGCUACUCCGCGAGGAGAUGCUAAUCUCUAAAGUCGGUCCCAGUUCGGAUUGGAGUCUGCAACCCGACUCCAUGAAGUUGGAUUCGCUAGUAAUCGCGCAUCAGCCAUGGCGCGGUGAAUACGUUCCCGGGCCUUGUACACACCGCCCGUCAAACCAUGGGAGCUGGGGGUGCCUGAAGUCUGCCACCGCAAGGAGCGGCCUAGGGUAAAACCAGUGACUGGGGUUAAGUCGUAACAAGGUAACC